GCCACAGCACAAGGAUCUACAGUUGCUGCACCUCUACCCUGACCAGGAAGGUGGUGCUAGAGCGCUGGUGGUUUUGCUGUGGCGCGUUUUGCCUGUCCGCUGCGGAGGCUGUUCAGGGCUUGCAGUUCUCAGGUUCUGACUGCUAUGUCCACCGUCUGAUGUGGGUUGUGCCAGGAGCACACUGGCCCACCAGGUCAUGUCAUCAAUUGGGGCAGAAGCAGCGUUGCAGCUUGCAGGCCUGUGGCGACCGCAGAAACACUCUUGCUGGUGUUGACGAUGGACAUCGACUUCUAGCUUGGACCUAGCUGGUGACCCAAGCAUGCUGAUGCUCCCUGUUUUCAUUGAGUUCAGACUGAUAUAUCCAUGCCUGCUGCAAGCUGUGCGUUCUCUGCCAGCAGAUAGGUCGCGUCAUUGAUAGGAGCAGCAGCGGCAUUCCAGAUGAGGGACUCAAAGUAACAAUACUUUGCCAUUGCUUCAACAUAGUACACUUGCAAUGUUACUAGUGGUCAGUUUGUGUGGCUGAUGAUAGCAUGACCCUUUCCAUCAGUUUUGUAGAGAAGUAGUAUCUUGUGCAACACGUGGGAGAGAGUUUCAUCGGGAGGCGCUGCACAGUUCGCUAUCCGUUGGCGACUACAUGGCAGCUCUUGCAGGCACCACCGACCAUCGACACCGUCACAACACAUGCCCUUCUGCUCGGUCCUCCCUGCCAUUCAUAGCCGGGAUGCACGCAAGAACCGAUGCCCGGCCUAACCGAUAAUGCAAGGAUGUUACUGCUGUAUAUACUCAUCGACGUGCUUCUGCCAUUGCUAGGACUUUGUGAAAAUGUACUCUGAGUACAUCUAUUUCCUAUUUAAGGAGGUUGAUGUUGAAGUGCCAGCUCACGAGGAGGAAUCAAGUGAAUAACAAGAUACAUACAACCACACAGACUAGACGAAGUAGAGACAGAAUAUGGUGUACAUAAAAAACCCAAGGCGUGCUGGUACUUUGUGAAGACCUUCGCAUGCUCUCAUACUUCCGUUUUGGUUAACUCCCGGGUUAGGACGAAGCCGUGUAGCUGUAGCUGGCCAGGAGAGAGCCAUGGCCGCUGGAUCCGGCAUGACCCGACAAUUCUAGCAUUCAGAAGGGAUCCAUGUGCGCCGAACCGGCGUAACUCUAGGUCCCCCUCGGUGCGGCAAAGAAGGAUGGCAAGGAGGAAAAACCACAAGCUGUCC